rnacentral:rRNA from 1 species
GACGAACGCUGGCGGCGUGCUUAACACAUGCCAGUCGAACGGAAAGGCCCUGCUUUUGUGGGGUGCUCGAGUGGCGAACGGGUGAGUAACACGUGAGUAACCUGCCCUUGACUUUGGGAUAACUUCAGGAAACUGGGGCUAAUACCGGAUAGGAGCUCCUGCUGCAUGGUGGGGGUUGGAAAGUUUCGGCGGCUGGGGAUGGACUCGCGGCUUAUCAGCUUGUUGGUGGGGUAGUGGCUUACCAAGGCUUUGACGGGUAGCCGGCCUGAGAGGGUGACCGGCCAAAUUGGGAAUGAGAUACGGCCCAGACUCCUACGGGAGGCAGCAGGGGGGAAUAUUGCACAAUGGGCGGAAGCCUGAUGCAGCAACGCCGCGUGCGGGAUGACGGCCUUCGGGUUGUAAACCGCUUUCGCCUGUGACGAAGCGUGAGUGACGGUAAUGGGUAAAGAAGCACCGGCUAACUACGUG